rnacentral:rRNA from 1 species
AACGAACGCUGGCGGCAGGCCUAACACAUGCAAGUCGAACGCUCUAGCAAUAGAGAAUGGCAGACGGGUGAGUAACACGUGGGAAUCUUCCUAUCGGUACGGAAUAGCUCAGGGAAACUUGGGGUAAUACCGCAUACGCCCUUCGGGGGAAAGAUUUAUCGCCGAUAGAUGAGCCCGCGUCUGAUUAGCUAGUUGGUGAGGUAAUGGCUCACCAAGGCGACGAUCAGUAGCUGGUCUGAGAGGAUGACCAGCCACACUGGGACUGAGACACGGCCCAGACUCCUACGGGAGGCAGCAGUGGGGGAUAUUGGACAAUGGGCGCAAGCCUGAUCCAGCCAUGCCGCGUGAGUGACGAAGGUCUUCGGAUUGUAAAGCUCUUUUGGCGGGGACGAUAAUGCCGGUACCCGCAGAAUAAGCCCCGGCAACCUUCGUGCCAGCAGCCGCCGUAA